CGCCGUCGACGGGGAGGUCGAAGUUGUCGGCACAGGGGAGGAGAGGGCGGAGGCGGAGGUUUAGAGGAGAGGGCUCGAGAGGCGAAGAAUCCGAAGGAGAGGAGAGGGGAGAGACUCGAGAGAGACUGAGGGAGGGAAUAGAGCUCGGGCGGCACACAAACCCUAACCCUAAGUCCCUAACUAAGGAGAAGUCGCGGAUGGUGGAGUGUGGUCCUCAAGCUGCCACGGUCGCUGUCGACGGGGAGGCCAAAGUUGUCGGCACGGAGUAGGAGAGGGCGGAGGUCCGGAGGAGAGGAGAGAGACUCGAGAGAGACUGAGGCCUCACCUGAGGGAGGGAAUAGCUGAAUGGAGCUUGGGCGGCGCAGCACAAACCCUAAAUCCUAAGUCCUAACCCUAAGGGCUCGUUUGGUUCGCAGGAAAAGGAGGGGGGAAAGUGUGGUCAACGGGAAAGUAAUGAAAUG
rnacentral:lncRNA from 1 species